rnacentral:rRNA from 1 species
UCGAGCGAUCCCGCAAGGGAUAGCGGCAAAAGGGUGAGUAACGCGUAAGCAAUUUUCCUUUAAGACGAGGAUAGCACUGUGAAAACGGUGGUAAUACUCGAUGUUAUCGGUAGCCUGCAUGGGCAGCCGAUCAAAGACGGGGACCGCAAGGCCUGUCGCUUGAAGAUGAGCUUGCGUACCAUCAGCUAGUUGGUAGGGUAACGGCCUACCAAGGCUAAGACGGUUAGCUGGACUGAGAGGUUGACCAGCCACAUUGGGACUGAGACACUGCCCAGACUCCUACGGGAGGCUGCAGUCGAGAAUAUUUAGCAAUGGACGAAAGUCUGACUAUGCGACGCCGCGUGCAGGAUGAAGGUCUUCGGAUUGUAAACUGCUUUUGUUAGGGGAGAAACCUGUAUUGUUAACAGCAUUACAGCUGACGGUACCUGACGAAUAAGCCACGGCAAACUCUGUGCCAGCAGCCGCGGUAAUACAGAGGUGGCAAGCGUUACUCGGAAUUAUUGGGUGUAAAGGGCGGGUAGGUGGCCUAGUAAGUGAGGGGUGAAAUACUGCGGUUUAAUCGCAGAACAGCCUUUCAAACUGCAUGGCUUGAGAGAAAUAGAGGAAGAUGGAAUUCCCGGUGUAAGGGUGAAAUCUGUAGAUAUCGGGAAGAACACCAACGGCGAAGGCAAUCUUCUGGGUUUCUUCUGACACUGAACUGCGAAAGCUAGGGGAGCAAACAGAAUUAGAUACUCUGGUAGUCCUAGCCGUAAACGAUGAGUACUAGUGUUGGGUCCUCGGGACUCGUGCCGAAGCUAACGCAUUAAGUACUCCACCUGGGGACUACGUCGCAAGGCUAAAACUC